rnacentral:lncRNA from 1 species
CUGCUCUGGCACCCCAAUGGUGGAACAAGCUCCCUCACGACGCCAGGACAGCGGAGUCAAUCACCACCUUCCGGAGACACCUGAAACCCCACCUCUUUAAGGAAUACCUGGGAUAGGAUAAAGUAAUCCUUCAAACCUUCUAAGAGCGUCUGCUAAAUGACUUAAAUGUAAUGUAAAUGUAACAUCGUGUAGUCAUAGUAACCAGGUGUUGAUAUCGUGUAGUCAUAGUAACCAUGUAUUGAUAUCGUGUCGUUAUAGUAGCCAGGAGUGGUAUGGUAUUGAUAUCGUGUAGUCAUAGUAACUAGGUAUUGAUAUUGUGUAGUCAUAGUAACCAGGAGUGGUAUGGUGUUGAUAUCAUGUAGUCAUAGUAACCAGGUAUUGAUAUGGUGUUGCUAUCGUGUGUAUCUAAAGAGCAAUAGGAGUGUGCAUUGUGGCUCACAAAAUUAUUGACGCAUGAAGUGGACAGUUUUUUUGAUUUUCGAAACAGGGCACUGGUAAAAGGUUUUAUCUUUGGCGUCCCGUUGGACAUUGAUAAUAAAUAGCUUAGGCUAAACAUUCCAGCAGUAGUUAAAGCAAUGAGAAGUUUCUGUAUUAUUGAUGUUUGAUGAAAUGCAUCUACCAACCUAUGUAAAGCUGAGAUUUGUCUGGCUGGUGUGUUUACGGACAUAUUCAAUCUCUCCCUAUCCCAGUCUGCUGUCCCCACAUGCUUCAAGAUGGCCACCAUUUUUCCUGUACCCAAGAAGGCAAAGGUUACUGAACUUAAUGACUAUCCCCCAGUAGCGAUCUCCUGUUAUCAUGAAGUGCUUUGAGAGACUAGUCAAGGACCCUAUCACCUCUACCUUACCUGCCACUUCGAUUUGCUUACCGCCCCAAUAGAUCCACAGACGAUGCAAUCGCCAUCACUCUGCACACUGCCCUAGCCCUAUAUCUGGACAAGAGGAUUACCUAUGUAAGAAUGCUGUUCAUUGACUACAGCUCAGCAUUCAACACCAUAAUACCCUCCAAGCUCAUCAUUAAGCUUGAGGCCCUGGGUCUGAAACCCGCCCUGUGCAACUGGAUCGUGGACUUCCUGAUGGGCAGCCCCCAGGUGGCGAAGGUAGGAAACGUCACCUCCGCUGAUCCACAACACUGGGACCCCACAAGGGUGGGUGCUCAGCCCCCUCCUGUACUCCCUGUUCACCCAUGAAUGCGUGGCCAAGCACGCCUCCAACUCAAUCAUCAAGUUUGCAGACGACAACAGCAGUAGGCUUGAUUACUAACGAUGACAAGACAGCUUACAGGGAGGAGGUGAGGGCUCAGAGCCUCUUCAAACUCAGGAGGCUAAAGAAAUGUGGCUUGUCACCUAAAACCCUCACACAUUUUUACAGAUGCACAAUUGAAAGCAUCCUGUCGGGCUGUAUCACCACCUGGUACAGCAACUACACUGCCCGCAACAGCUAGGCUCUCCAGAGGGUGAUGCAUUACCGGGGGGCAAACUUCCGCCCUCCAGGACCCCUACAGCACCCGAUGUCACAGGAAGGCCAAAAAGAUCAUCAUGGACAUCAACAACCCAAGCCACUGCCUGUACAUCCCGCUAUCAUCCAGGCGAGGUCAGAACAGGUGCAUCAAAGCGGGGACUGAGAGACUGAAAAACAGUCUCUAUCUCAAGGCCAUCAGACUGUUAAACAGCCAUCACUAGGACAUUAGAGGCUGCUGCCUAUAGGCAUAGACUAGAAAUCACUGGCCAUUUUAAGAAAUGGAACACUAGUCACUUUAAUAAUGUUUACAUAUCUGGCAUUACUCAUCUCACAUGUAUAUACUGUUUUUCUAUACUAUUCUACAGUAUCUCAUUCACUUAAAAAUGCUUCCAUAUCUUGCAUUACUCAUCUCAUAUGUAUAUACUGUUUUUCUACACUAUUCUACUGUAUCUUAGACUGUUCUGCUCUGACAUCGCUCGUCCAUAUGUACAGUUGAAGUCAGAAGUUUACAUACACUUAGGUUGGAGUCAUUAAAACUCAAUUUUUCAACCACUUAACAAACUAUAGUUUUGGCAAGUAGGUUAGGACAUCUACUUUGUGCAUGACAAUUGUUUACAGACAGAUUAUUUCACUUAUAAUUCACUGUAUCACAAUUCUAGUGGGUCAGAAGUUUACAUAUACACUAAGUUGACUGUGCCUUUAAACUGCUUGGAAAAUUCCAGAAAAUGUCAUGGCUCUAGAAGCUUCUGAUAGGCUAAUUGACAUAAUUUGAGUCAAUUGGAGGUGUACCUGUGGAUGUAUUUCAAGGCCUACCUUCAAACCCAGUGCCUCUUUGCUUGACAUCAUAGGAAAAUCAAAAGAAAUGGUAGACCACCAUAAGUCUGGUUCAUCCUUGGGAGCAAUUUCCAAACGCCUGAAGGUACCACGUUCAUCUGUACAAACAAUAGUAUGCAAGUAUAAACACCAUGGGACCACGCAGCCGUCAUAUCGCUUAGAAAGGAGACGUGUUCUGUCCCCUAGAGAUGAACGUACUUUGGUGCAUAUCAAUCCCAGAACAACAGCAAAGGACCUUGUGAAGAUGCUGGAGGAAACGGGUGCAAAAGUAUCUAUAUCCACAGUAAAAUGAGUCCUAUAUCGACAUAACCUGAAAGGCCGCUCAGCAAAGAAGAAGCCACUGCUACAAAACCGCCAUAAAAAAGCCAGACUACGGUUUGCAACUGCACAUGGGGGCAAAGAUUGUACUUUUUGGAGAAAUGUCCUCUGGUCUGAUGAAACAAAAAUAGAACUGUUUGGCCAUAAUGACCCUCAUUAUGUUUGGAGGAAAAAGGGCGAGGCUUGCAAGCCGAAGUACACCAUCCCAACUAUGAAGCACGGAGGUGGCAGCAUCAUGUUGUGGGGGUGCUUUGCUGCACUUCACAAAAUCGAUGGCAUCAUGUGGAAGGAAAAGUAUGUGGAUAUAUUGAAGCAACAUCUCAAGACAUCAGUCAGGAAGUUAAAGCUUGGGUCUUCCAAAUGGACAAUUUUUUUUAACCUUUAUUUAACUAGGCAAGUCAGUUAAGAACAAAUUCUUAUUUUCAAUGAUGGCCUAGGAACAGUGGGUUAACUGCCUUGUUCAGGGGCAGAACAACAGAUGUUUUACCUUGUCAGCUCAGGGAUUCAAUCUUACAACCUUUUGGUUACUAGUCCAACGCUCUAACCAUUAGGCUACCUGCCGCCCAUACUUUCAGCGCUCUAACCACUAGGCUACCUGCCGCCCAUACGAGCGUACUUCCAAAGUUGUGGAAAAAUGGCUUAAGGACAACAAAGUCAAUGUAUUGGAGUGGCCAUCACAAAGCCUUGACCUCAAUCCCAUAGAACAUUUGUGGGCAGAACUGAAAAAGCACAUGCGAGCAAGGAGGCCUACAAACCUAACUCAGUUACACCAGCUCUGUCAGGAGAAAUGGGCCAAAAUUCACCCACUUAUUGUGGGAAGCUUGUGGAAGGCUACCUGAAACAUUUGAACACAGAGUUGGAAUGAAACAGUUGCACACAGUUCCCUUUGAAAGGAACAGUGAGCGGGUCAAGGAACUCCGCCACCAAUACGUCCACGUAUGAUGUCUAUCCAAUAUGUCUAGUUCUAUAUAGUGAGUUUUACACUAUGGGGUCAGGGAACUCUGGCACGAAUACAUCCAGGUAUGGUGUCUAUCCAAUAUGUCUAGUUCUAUAUAGUGAGUUUUACACUAUGGGGUCAGGGAACUCUGGCACCAAUACAUCCAGGUAUGGUGUCUAUCCAAUAUGUCUAGUUCUAUAUAGUGAGUUUUACACUAUGGGGUCAGGGAACUCUGGCACCAAUACAUCCAGGUAUGGUGUCUAUCCAAUAUGUCUAGUUCUAUAUAGUGAGUUUUACACUAUGGGGUCAGGGAACUCUGGCACCAAUACAUCCAGGUAUGGUGUCUAUCCAAUAUGUCUAGUUCUAUAUAGUGAGUUUUACACUAUGGGGUCAGGGAACUCUGGCACCAAUACAUCCAGGUAUGGUGUCUAUCCAAUAUGUCUAGUUCUAUAUAGUGAGUUUUACACUAUGCUACUCUACAUGUUAACAUGGGUUACAGUAGGACACUAUGCUACUCUACAUGUUAACAUGGGUUACAGUACAUACAGUUGGAACACUAUGCUACUCUACAUGUUAACAUGGGUUACAGUAGGACACUAUGCUACUCUACAUGUAAACAUGGGUUACAGUACAUUCAGUAGGACACUAUGCUACUCUACAUGUUAACAUGGGUUACAGUACAUACAUUAGGACACUAUGCUACUCUACAUGUUAACAUGGGUUACAGUACAUACAGUAGGACACUAUGCUACUCUACAUGUUAACAUGGGUUACAGUAGGACACUAUGCUACUCUACAUGUAAACAUGGGUUACAGUAGGACACUAUGCUACUCAACAUGUUAACAUGGGUUACAGUACAUACAUUAGGACACUAUGCUACUCUACAUGUUAACAUGGGUUACAGUACAUACAGUAGGACACUAUGCUACUCUACAUGUUAACAUGGGUUACAGUACAUACAGUAGGACACUAUGCUACUCUACAUGUUAACAUGGGUUACAGUACAUACAGUAGGACACUAUUCUACUCUACAUGUAAACAUGGGUUACAGUACAUACAGUAGGACCCUAUGCUACUCUACAUGUUAACAUGGGUUACAGUAGGACACUAUGCUACUCUACAUGUUAACAUGGGUUACAGUAGGACACUAUGCUACUCUACAUGUUAACAUGGGUUACAGUAGGACACUAUGCUACUCUACAUGUUAACAUGGGUUACAGUAGGACACUAUGCUACUCUACAUGUUAACAUGGGUUACAGUAGGACACUAUGCUACUCUACAUGUUAACAUGGGUUACAGUAGAACACUAUGCUACUCUACAUGUUAACAUGGGUUACAGUAGGACACUAUGCUACUCUACAUGUUAACAUGGGUUACAGUAGGACACUAUGCUACUCUACAUGUUAACAUGGGUUACAGUAGGACACUAUGCUACUCUACAUGUUAACAUGGGUUACUGUAGGACACUAUGCUACUCUACAUGUUAACAUGGGUUACUGUAGGACACUAUGCUACUCUACAUGUUAACAUGGGUUACAGUAGGACACUAUGCUACUCUACAUGUUAACAUGGGUUACAGUAGGACACUAUGCUACUCUACAUGUUAACAUGGGUUACAGUAGGACACUAUGCUACUCUACAUGUUAACAUGGGUUACAGUAGGACACUAUGCUACUCUACAUGUUAACAUGGGUUACAGUAGGACACUAUGCUACUCUACAUGUUAACAUGGGUUACAGUACAUACGGUAGGACACUAUGCUACUCUACAUGUUAACAUGGGUUACAGUACAUACGGUAGGACACUAUGCUACUCUACAUGUUAACAUGGGUUACAGUAGGACACUAUGCUACUCUACAUGUUAACAUGGGUUACAGUAGGACACUAUGCUACUCUACAUGUUAACAUGGGUUACAGUAGGACACUAUGCUACUCUACAUGUUAACAUGGGUUACAGUAGGACACUAUGCUACUCUACAUGUUAACAUGGGUUACAGUACAUACAGUAGGACACUAUGCUACUCUACAUGUUAACAUGGGUUACAGUAGGACACUAUGCUACUCUACAUGUUAACAUGGGUUACAGUAGGACACUAUGCUACUCUACAUGUUAACAUGGGUUACAGUAGGACACUAUGCUACUCUACAUGUUAACAUGCGUUACAGUAGGACACUAUGCUACUCUACAUGUUAACAUGGGUUACAGUACAUACAGUAGGACACUAUGCUACUCUACAUGUUAACAUGGGUUACAGUACAUACAGUAGGACACUAUGCUACUCUACAUGUUAACAUGGGUUACAGUACAUACAGUAGGACACUAUGCUACUCUACAUGUUAACAUGGGUUACAGUACAUACAGUAGGACACUAUGCUACUCUACAUGUAAACAUGGGUUACAGUACAUACAGUAGGACACUAUGCUACUCUACAUGUUAACAUGGGUUACAGUACAUACAGUAGGACACUAUGCUACUCUACAUGUUAACAUGGGUUACAGUACAUACAGUAGGACACUAUGCUACUCUACAUGUAAACAUGGGUUAUAGUAGGACACUAUGCUACUCUACAUGUUAACAUGGGUUACAGUACAUACAGUAGGACACUAUGCUACUCUACAUGUUAACAUGGGUUACAGUACAUACAGU